rnacentral:rRNA from 1 species
UUGAACGCUGGCGGCAUGCCUUACACAUGCAAGUCGAACGGUAACGCGGGGGCAACCCUGGCGACGAGUGGCGAACGGGUGAGUAAUACAUCGGAACGUACCCAGUAGUGGGGGAUAGCUCGGCGAAAGCCGGAUUAACACCGCAUACGACCUAUGGGUGAAAGCGGGGGAUCGCAAGACCUCGCGCUAUUGGAGCGGCCGAUGUCGGAUUAGCUAGUUGGUGAGGUAAAGGCUCACCAAGGCUACGAUCCGUAGCUGGUCCUGAGAGGACGACCAGCCACACUGGGACUGAGACACGGCCCAGACUCCUACGGGAGGCAGCAGUGGGGAAUUUUGGACAAUGGGCGAAAGCCUGAUCCAGCCAUGCCGCGUGUGUGAAGAA